GACGAACGCUGGCGGCGUGCCUAAUACAUGCAAGUUGAGCGCUGAAGGUUGGUACUUGUACCAACUGGAUGAGCAGCAAACGGGUGAGUAACGCGUGGGGAAUCUGCCUUUGAGCGGGGACAACAUUUGGAAACGAAUGCUAAUACCGCAUAAAAACUUUAAACACAAGUUUUAAGUUUGAAAGAUGCAAUUGCAUCACUCAAAGAUGAUCCCGCGUUGUAUUAGCUAGUUGGUGAGGUAAAGGCUCACCAAGGCGAUGAUACAUAGCCGACCUGAGAGGGUGAUCGGCCACAUUGGGACUGAGACACGGCCCAAACUCCUACGGGAGGCAGCAGUAGGGAAUCUUCGGCAAUGGACGAAAGUCUGACCGAGCAACGCCGCGUGAGUGAAGAAGGUUUUCGGAUCGUAAAACUCUGUUGGUAGAGAAGAACGUUGGUGAGAGUGGAAAGCUCAUCAAGUGACGGUAACUACCCAGAAAGGGACGGCUAACUACGUG
rnacentral:rRNA from 1 species